UGGGGAAUAUUGCACAAUGGGCGCAAGCCUGAUGCAGCCAUGCCGCGUGUGUGAAGAAGGCCUUCGGGUUGUAAAGUACUUUCAGCGGGGAGGAAGGCGUUAAGGUUAAUAACCUUGGCGAUUGACGUUACCCGCAGAAGAAGCACCGGCUAACUCCGUGCCAGCAGCCGCGGUAAUACGGAGGGUGCAAGCGUUAAUCGGAAUUACUGGGCGUAAAGCGCACGCAGGCGGUCUGUCAAGUCGGAUGUGAAAUCCCCGGGCUCAACCUGGGGACUGCAUUCGAAACUGGCAGGCUAGAGUCUUGUAGAGGGGGGUAGAAUUCCAGGUGUAGCGGUGGAAUGCGUAGAGAUCUGGAGGAAUACCGGUGGCGGAGGCGGCCCCCUGGACGAAGACUGACGCUCAGGUGCGAAAGCGUGGGGAGCAAACAGG
rnacentral:rRNA from 1 species